rnacentral:tRNA from 1 species
GCCCCUGUAGCCCAAUGGCAGAGGCAGGCUCCUUAAAAGAGUCACAGUGGCGGUUCGAAUCCAGCUCGGGGGCAC